CAAAAGUUGCAAAUUAGAAGCGAAUCUUCUCAGAUGUUUUUCUGGAUAACAUUGAUUGACGAUGGCUCAGUUCCAUUAAGAGUCCCAAUGAGCCGGCGUGCACAAUACCAGGACCUCCCCAAAGUGGAAUGCAGCCAUCAUAAAUGUUAUUAAAUUCACCUGUGCUUUUCUACUAUGGCAGGUCAAAAUGUCUGUUGUGAAAAAGGUCCAUCAUUGCAAAUGUUUGA